rnacentral:rRNA from 1 species
GCGAAUCGCCCUUCGGGGUGCCCAGGCGCGAAAACUUUACAAUGCCGGCAACGGCGAUAAGGGAACCUCGAGUGCCAGGUUACAAAUCUGGCUGUCGUGAUGCCUAAAAAGCAUUGCAUAGCAAGGGCCGGGCAAGACCGGUGCCAGCCGCCGCGGUAACACCGGCGGCUCGAGUGGUAACCGUUAUUAUUGGGUCUAAAGGGUCUGUAGCCGGCCGGGUAAGUCUCUUGGGAAAUCUGGCAGCUUAACUGUCAGGCUUUCAGGAGAUACUGCCUGGCUCGAGGCCGGGAGAGGUGAGAGGUACUUCAGGGGUAGGGGUGAAAUCUUGUAAUCCUUGAAGGACCACCAGUGGCGAAGGCGUCUCACCAGAACGGACCUGACGGCAAGGGACGAAAGCUAGGGGCACGAACCGGAUUAGAUACCCGGGUAGUCCUAGCCGCAAACGAUACUCGCUAGGUGUCGGCCACGGUGCGACCGUGGUCGGUGCCGUAGGGAAGCCGUGAAGCGAGCCACCUGGGAAGUACGGCCGCAAGGCUGAAACUUAAAGGAAUUGGCGGGGGAGCAC